GCAAACUUGGUCAUUUAGAGGAAGUAAAAGUCGUAACAAGGUUUCCGUAGGUGAACCUGCGGAAGGAUCAUUACAAAAUCUGAGUGGGGUGAAUAUAUGGGGGGGGUAUUAUGGUCUGGAAACAGCCUGUGCCUGUCCACAUUUCAUCAUCAUCAUUUGCGCUUGUAUUGUUUGACAGAGUAAAUUUAACAGUGAAUUAAUGACAACUUUUAACAAUGGAUCUCUGGGCUCUUGCAUCGAUGAAGAACGCAGC
rnacentral:misc_RNA from 1 species